UCUUAUAGACGAGCAAAAAAAGUGGUUUCCUGAGAUGGAAUGUACUCACGGUGAAGAUGCUGUGAA
rnacentral:pre_miRNA from 1 species